AUCAUGAGUUCACAUGUCCGCAUGAUUAAAGGUAUUUUCCGGUAGACGAUGGGGAUGCGUUCCAUUAGAUAGUAGGCGGGGUAACGGCCCACCUAGUCAACGAUGGAUAGGGGUUCUGAGAGGAAGGUCCCCCACAUUGGAACUGAGACACGGUCCAGACUCCUACGGGAGGCAGCAGUGAGGAAUAUUGGUCAAUGGGCGAUAGCCUGAACCAGCCAAGUAGCGUGAAGGAUGACUGCCCUAUGGGUUGUAAACUUCUUUUAUAAAGGAAUAAAGUCGGGUAUGCAUACCCGUUUGCAUGUACUUUAUGAAUAAGGAUCGGCUAACUCCGUGCCAGCAGCCGCGGUAAUACGGAGGAUCCGAGCGUUAUCCGGAUUUAUUGGGUUUAAAGGGAGCGUAGAUGGAUGUUUAAGUCAGUUGUGAAAGUUUGCGGCUCAACCGUAAAAUUGCAGUUGAUACUGGAUGUCUUGAGUGCAGUUGAGGCAGGCGGAAUUCGUGGUGUAGCGGUGAAAUGCUUAGAUAUCACGAAGAACUCCGAUUG
rnacentral:rRNA from 1 species